CUCAACUACUAAACAACGCCGCCCUUCCCAAAGCAAAAAAGAAAGAUAUAAUACAUCAUUGAUCUCUCCUUGUCUGAUCAUUACUGGGCCAAUCUUAAUAUCCACUUUUCAUUACAUUUAUUCAAUUUUAUAGAAUAGUGCACUCAACCCUCUUUCCCAGUGCUAGCAGCAUUUCUGAAUUUCAAUAUUUGUUACAGGGGACUGAGGGGAGUGUAUAGUAUGUUUCUUUUAGAGUGAAAAAAUCAUUUCCCCAUUCUCACCUCAGUCAAUACAAUUGUCAAUACGGGAUUGUGGUGUAUGACGCUAACUGAGGCCUUAUUUACCCUGCCUGGCUCUUCUACUGUGUGUGUAUGUGUGUGCGUGUCUUAUGUCAGCACAGGGGAAAAAACAAAUUUUAGUUACAGAGCACUCCGUCGUUUAGCUAAGGCGACAUGGGCACUUUCACACACCUCAUGCAGUUGUGUCCAUGCUCUGGAAGCAUUUCAUGCAAAAGUGAUCCAACAAGAACUAACAGCAUCCUUACCAAAUUGGAUGGGGUAAUAAGCUCUAUUAGCCAAUGACUUUCUCUUGCAGGUUAAACAUACCAGAAUCAUGCCAUGUAGCUAAGACAGGUCUUCACCUAAUGCUACAAACCCUACGGCAUAAUUACAAAUCUAGAGGUGAAACAUAAACAUUUCAGCAUAAGGAAAAUUGAUCUUUUAAAUCUUUUAAACACCAAAGACAGGCCCUCGUACCAAUAGAAUAACAGAGAAAUGGGAAAAAGUACCUUUUGGAUUGAGACGAAGUGCGAGCUCACAUGAUCCAACAGGAGGCUGAACCUUUUCUCUUAGAAAAGUAUUCAGAUUGGGCUUGUACAGCCAUGCAUUCCCAGAACGCAAAAUAAGUUCCUUACAUGUGAAGAUAUUUGGUAUUGUAAAGCUGUAACACCCCGUAUUUUGUUAUUCUGUAAUUACUAUUGUUAACGUAAUUACGUCCUAAAUUUCUCCAAGUUAUUUUAAUUAUCUUAUUAUGUCUACCUUUUUAUUGUGACAUAAUACCAAUUAUGUGAGCCCCAAUUAAUUUUCAUACAUGAGUUUUCUCUUUCCAGCCAAUUUCAUUACCCAAAAUCUGAUUUAUUCAUUUUGCCAUUUUAUCAAUUGAAAACUCAAAGAUCCAUUUUGCUUCUUUUUCCUCCUCCGUACGUGUAAAUGGAGGGCUUGGCCACCAAGAUGUUGAAUUUCUUUUGUCUCCAAAUUUUGUCCAAAUGUACAGCAAAGCCAAUUCACCUUUCUUCUUCCUUGUGUGGCAAGAAGUUUGAUUUCCAAAUGUCCAUAGUUUUCUCCUCCUCCAUGACUCACCUUGUACCUAAACCACUAUAAAUAGACUUCUAAACUCCAUUUUUAUACAAGCUUAAAACUCAAUUAAUAUCUCUGGUGAUAUUUCUAAGUUUAAUUUGCUUCCCCUCUAUUUUUCCUUGUUUAAUUCAAAGAAAACCAUUAAAGAUUACCCAUUUUCUCUCUCCUCCUUCACAACCACCGCGGCACCGCCGCUACCGCCACCGCCGCCACUACUUUAUGCCGGCGACUCAAUUCUUCGACUCAGACCACCGCCCUGAACCCGAAGCCACCUCCUGUCGUCGCCGGAAAUCCACGGCCCUAUUGUUGCGUGAGCCAUGCUUCCUUGUUCUUUCAUUUAUUUCACUGCUACUGCCUAUUUCUUAAUUGAUCUUUCCAAAUAAAUCCAAAAAGGGAUUGUUACUUGUUAGUGGGUCUUGAGUUGUGAGAAACAAAGUUGGCAUUUUCUUGGUCAAAAGUAACGAAAUAUGGGAGUAAGUUUUAUGAAUUCAAGUGGUUCAUUUAAUUAUGGAAUCUUAUUUUCUUAAGCAAAUGAUUAAUUGUAAUUGUUGUCUUAUAUUGAGGUUGUCACUAAUAAAGAAUUAUUCGGAGGAUUAAUAAGAGAUGCCGAGUUAAGAUAAUUAAUGAUAAGAGAUUGAGGUUCGUUUAAGGACUCAAGUUGCUCAAGAAAGAGUUAUUACUGGAGUUGGUAUUUUAUUAUGGAGAUACGAUAUCGAGCUGAGAGAUAUUUAUUAUGGAAAUUCGGUUAUUGUGGUUGUUAUAAGAAUAUUGAUUUAUAUUUAUUUUUGAGAAUAUUGUAUUAUUUAUGGAAUGUUAUUAAGGAUUAUUUUAUUUGUGGGCCCAUACCCACAGGUCCUA